rnacentral:rRNA from 1 species
CACGAACUGCGCGAACGUUAUUCGGAAUUACUGGGCUUAAAGGGUGCGUAGGCGGCGAUGUAGGUGGGGUGUGAAAUCCCUCGGCUCAACCGAGGAACUGCGCUCCAAACCACAUUGCUUGAGAGAGUCAGAGGUAAGCGGAACUGAUGGUGGAGCGGUGAAAUGCGUUGAUAUUAUCAGGAACACCGGUGGCGAAAGCGGCUUACUGGGACUUUUCUGACGCUGAGGCACGAAAGCUAGGGGAGCGAACGGGAUUAGAUACCCCCGUA